GGAGUAGAGCCAGAGGUUCUGCAUUUUUCACAAGCUCCCAGCUGAUCCAGCGCUGCUGGUCCACAGUGCAUAUUUAGAGUGGCAAGAAUCUAGAGCACAGGAGAGAAAGAAUUGGGACCUGGGAACCAAUGCCAGCAAGCACAUUAACAUUUCUUCUGGGGAAACGGACUUUGGCCUAGUGGUUAGGGCGUUCAUCUACCACAUGGGAGGUCCGCGGUUCAAGCCCCGGGCCUCCUUGACCCGUGUGGAGCUGGCCCAUGCGCAGUGCUGAUGCGCGCAAGGAGUGCUGUGCCACAUAGGGGUGUCCCCCCCGUAGGGGAGCCCCACUCGCAAGGAGUGCACCCAUAAGGAGAGCCGCCCAGCCCGAAGGAGGGAGCAGCCUGCCCAGGAAUGGCGCUGCCCACACUUCCCGUGCCGCUGACGACAACAGAAGCGGACAAAGAAACAAGACGCAGCAAAAAGACACAGAGAACAGACAACCAGGGGAGGGGAGGGGAAUUAAAUAAAUAAAAAUAAAUCUUUAAAAAAAAAAAAAAAAAGAGUAAGUUGCAUACAUCAUGCUCCUCUAACACUUAAAAAAAAAACAAAACAAAAAAAAAAAACAUU
rnacentral:lncRNA from 1 species